ACAGGACAGAUUGGGGUGGGGGGCAGAUGGGUGGGAUUGAAUCUUAUUAAACACUUCAAGGUGGGUGUGACAGGGUGCUGCACCCUCCCUUGUGAAAGGUGGGAAUGGAAAGAGGGAGGAGACAGAGGAAAUGGAGGAGCUAUAUUUCACAGAAAUUUCUAUAUAUAUAUAUAUAUAUAUAUCUCCAAAUCUAUCUAUCUAUCUAUAGCUAUAUUUAAAGGCUGAAGGUUGCACAGGCUGAGAAUGUGACAUUGUGGAGGACCAGAAGGGGGGCAGUAAAGGGAGGGGGCGCUCCUGUCCUCCCCCCCUCCGGAGGUGACCCCUGUUUCUCUCCUUUAACACAGAAAAAGUUGCACUGGUAGACAGCCCCCCUUCCGCACGGUGUCUUGAGAGGGAUUGUUUGAGCCAGUGGGUGGGGCCAGCAGACCCAAGUGAGCUGAGUGUGGGGCAGCUACCCUCCGGUUUCUGUGCAGCCUCUUGGUUGAACGAAGCUGCCUUGUCCUGCAUCAGACCUUUGGCCUAGACCAGCAGGGGAAGGUCUUUCACAGUAGCUACUUUCCACUGGAGAUGCAGCCGGGGAUUGAACUCGGGGCGUUCUGCAUGCCAAGAAGAGUCUCUUCCAUUGACCCUUCCCCUUGUGGCCAGUUCUUGUGGCCGUCAUGAAGUUGCCUGCCCCCACCCCUCCCACAACAAUACUUGAAGUUCAAGGGGGAGAAAAGCAGCUUAGGAUUUAUUCUGCACCUUCAACCCCACCCCCACCCCAAAAAAGGAGCUCUGUAGCGACAGGUAUUUCUAAAUGCCUGGGCGAGGAAGGUCCCUGCUGGCUUUCAGAGCCAUGGAUUUGCAGAGAACAACCUGGCACAACUGGGCAAACUUUUGUGUCCCAGAUGAAAGCUUGGUUUGAGACCAGAGCCAGUUGGCCACGGCUCUCUCUCAGAUCUUCUUCUGGAAACAGCCGGCUGCUGCUUCUGCUGCCUCCCUGGUUGGAAUGUGAAACGCUCCUGCUGUUUCUUGGGUGGAAGCUGGAGACAAUCUGAACCGGCUCAGAACUGCAGUGAAGACAGACCUUUAAAGAGAUGGGAAGCGCUCUGCAAGAAGCUCUUACCUGGCCUCUUCCACCUCCCCUCCCCCACACCCCAGGUGAAUGGACCUGCAGCAGUUAAGAGUUCUAAGUUAGAUGGGAGUCCAGUAGCAAUGCAGAGAACAUCUGGUUGUGCCCCUAAAUUCUUGUUGGCCCUUAACUUGCUUCCGAAGUCCAGUCUAGCUGUUCUACUGCAAAUCAACACAAGCAGUCCCUGAAAAGAAUCUGGCCGGGGUGGGGGGGGCAGACUUUCACAAGCUCUUACUUAGUUUAAAAUGGCUGUUCUUGAGGGGUAGGGGAAUAAUACUGUGCCUGUUCCCUGACCCCCCCUUGAAAAUUUUCCUUGUAGUAUCCCUUCACUCUUCUCCACUUGCCCCCAUCCCCCCCCCAAACCGGACUGAGGAAGAAGAAGAAUGGUGAGAAUAGAUUCUUUGCUUCAUUGCUCCAGGGGUGGAAAAAGAGAAACCGGGGGAAGCAGAGGGUGGAGAAGGCCGGGCUACGGGAUGGAGAGGAAGUGCCAGGAACUUUUUCAUAAUGUUUGCAUAAUGGAAUGUUGACCUUACUGUUAAGAGGGAAAUGGAUGCACACGCUCCCCGUGCCACCCCCCACCCCCACCCCAUCACGCGCAGUCAUUUAGAAAAGACAUCAUUGGGGGCGGGGGACACACAUGAAGAACUGUUUCACCUCUUUUUUCCUUAGCACUCAGCUCAGAACUAAAUUAUGUGAGAACACAGAUGUCUCACCUGUCUGUUAGAUUUAUUUAUACAGUGGAAGGGUGAAUAUCUAAUUAUUACAUCAAAGGAGGAGGAGUUGAUUGCCCCUUGACUUUGUUCCCCCUGCCAUGCCCCCCCCCCCAGUCUCUUGUCUCUGAGGCUGAGGUAAGACUGGUGCUAAGAUGAUGGGGGGGACACCCCCUCUUUUCAUGGAUAAUGAAUGGGGGAAGACCUAUUCAUGUUUGGCCCUUGGAAUUCUGGGAAGACUACGUUCAUUCUUUACACACUGUUGGGGGGGAAGAAUUGGGUGUCAUGCAGGAGGGGGUGUGUGUGUGUUCAAACUGCAGAUGUUUCCUCAAAGUCUGAUCUGAGUCACAUUUUCAGCCCAGGCUGGCAGUAUUUUGCACUGGACUCAUUGAUGGUUUGUGGGGUUUGGAGUUGGGUUUUCGUUCAGGUCGAGAUGUCAGGGCAGAGGGACGGGAGGGGGGGGGGCUGCACAGGCCAAAGCAUGGCUGUCUUUGGUAUUUUCCAAAGCAAACAUGGCUGAGAAUAGACAGAUGUUUAAUAAGAAUACAACCCAAUAAAAAAGCGGUCUAACAAA